rnacentral:piRNA from 1 species
UGACAUUAUGAUGAUGAUAAUGAGAGGAGA